GAUGAACGCUGGCGGCGUGCCUAAUACAUGCAAGUCGAGCGAACAGACGAGGAGCUUGCUCCUCUGACGUUAGCGGCGGACGGGUGAGUAACACGUGGAUAACCUACCUAUAAGACUGGGAUAACUUCGGGAAACCGGAGCUAAUACCGGAUAAUAUAUUGAACCGCAUGGUUCAAUAGUGAACGACGGUUUUGCUGUCACUUAUAGACGGAUCCGCGCCGCAUUAGCUAGUUGGUAAGGUAACGGCUUACCAAGGCAACGAUGCGUAGCCGACCUGAGAGGGUGAUCAGCCACACUGGAACUGAGACACGGUCCAGACUCCUACGGGAGGCAGCAGUAGGGAAUCUUCCGCAAUGGGCGAAAGCCUGACGGAGCAACGCCGCGUGAGUGAUGAAGGUCUUCGGAUCGUAAAACUCUGUUAGUAGGGAAGAACAAAUGUGUAAGUAACUAUGCACGUCUUGACGGUACCUAAUCAGAAAGCCACGGCUAACUACGUG
rnacentral:rRNA from 1 species